UGUAGUCUGGUGUGUAGAGGCAUGUUUCUUUUUGGUGGAAGUGGGGAGGUUUUCGACUGCAA
rnacentral:tRNA from 1 species